AUUGGUGCCAGGCAGCCGCGGUAAUUCCAGCUCCCAAUAGCGUAUAUUAAAGUUGUUGCAGUUAAAAAGCUCGUAGUUGAAUUUCGGGAUCAAUAUGUUGGUCGUGCCUUGGUACGUACUGGCGUCAUUGGUUUCUACCUUCUGAAGAACCUCGAUGUCAUUAAUUUGGUGUCUUGGGGAAUCAGGACUGUUACUUUGAAAAAAUUAGAGUGUUUAAAGCAAGCUCAUGCUUGAAUACAUUAGCAUGGAAUAAUGAAAUAGGACGUUUGAUUCUAUUUUGUUGGUUUCUAGGAUCGACGUAAUGAUUAAUAGGGAUAGUUGGGGGCAUUAGUAUUCAAUUGUCAGAGGUGAAAUUCUUGGAUUUAUUGAAGACUAACUACUGCAAAAGCAUUUGCCAAGGAUGUUUUCAUUAAUCAAGAACGAAAGUUAGGGGAUCGAAGACGAUCAGAUACCGUCGUAGUCUUAGACCUUUAAAACUAUGCCGACUAGGGAUGCGGAUGAUGUUAAUUUUUUAAUGACUCA
rnacentral:rRNA from 2 species